rnacentral:rRNA from 1 species
CCUACGGGUGGCUGCAGUCGAGAAUCAUUCACAAUGGGGGAAACCCUGAUGGUGCGACGCCGCGUGGGGGAAUGAAGGUCUUCGGAUUGUAAACCCCUGUCAUGUGGGAGCAAAUUAAAAAGAUAGUACCACAAGAGGAAGAGACGGCUAAAUCUGUGCCAGCAGCCGCGGUAAUACAGAGGUCUCAAGCGUUGUUCGGAAUCACUGGGCGUAAAGGGUGCGUAGGCUGUUUCGUAAGUCGGGUGUGAAAGGCGCGGGCUCAACCCGCGGACGGCCCAUGAUACUGCGAGACUAGAGUAAUGGAGGGGGAACCGGAAUUCUCGGGGUAGCAGUGAAAUGCGUAGAUAUCGAGAGGAACACUCGUGGCGAAGGCGGGUUCCUGGACAUUAACUGACGCUGAGGCACGAAGGCCAGGGGAGCGAAAGGGAUUAGAUACCCUUGUAGUC